rnacentral:rRNA from 1 species
UAGGGAAUCUUCCACAAUGGACGCAAGUCUGAUGGAGCAACGCCGCGUGAGUGAAGAAGGUUUUCGGAUCGUAAAGCUCUGUUGUUGGUGAAGAAGGAUAGAGGCAGUAACUGGUCUUUAUUUGACGGUAAUCAACCAGAAAGUCACGGCUAACUACGUGCCAGCAGCCGCGGUAAUACGUAGGUGGCAAGCGUUGUCCGGAUUUAUUGGGCGUAAAGCGAGCGCAGGCGGAAUGAUAAGUCUGAUGUGAAAGCCCACAGCUCAACCGUGGAACUGCAUCGGAAACUGUCAUUCUUGAGUACAGAAGAGGAGGGUGGAAUUCAAUGUGUAGCGGUGGAAUGCGUAGAUAUAUGGAAGAACACCAGUGGCGAAGGCGGCUCUCUGGUCUGCAACUGACGCUGAGGCUCGAAAGCAUGGGUAGCGAACAGG